rnacentral:lncRNA from 1 species
ACUUGCAUAAGUCACAAAGCUAGUUCAUGACCGAGCUAGAAUUGGAAUCUUGGCCAGGUAAUUCCAGAUGUUUCACUCUUAACCAUUCUAUAGAAUCAGCACCCAUCUUUGAGUCAGAGUUUGAGAUGCAAAUCCUUUACUGUAUAGCCUUGAUCAAAUGACUUCACCUCAUUGAAUUAAUCUUCUUCUGCAUAAAAUGGGGUCACCAUCUGCUUAUCUAAAUUGUUACAAAUGGGACAGUAUAUGUGCCAUUCCAGAUACCUAAUCACAGCUCAAUCGAUGCUGGUGUCUUUUUCCUUUUUCCUUCUGCAGAAAACAUGCUUUACAUAGGAUCUCUGAACUUAAAGAAUGGGAAGAAGAAAAAUCAUGUUUCCAGCUUGGGCUGCUGUUUCAUCUGUUGGACUUGCUUAAAGCGUAUGGGUUUGUUUACCCUUCCUGCAGGCAUCCAACCUGGCCUUUUAUUCCUGCUCAAGUAGGACAUGCAGCCUGCUGGGGACCCGUGGCUCAAAUCCUCCAACUGCAGGACUGCCGGCCCUGGGACUCAUGAAUAAUGGAAGUGCAGUAACCACUCCUUACAGCCCAGACGACUUUCCAGGAGCAGGCUGUACCCCGAAAGUAAACAAGGAACAAGGGGCAAGGAGACAGAGAGAGAUGGGGAAAUGAUCCCUGAAUGGAAAGGAAUGCUAUGCACACUUUUUGGAUACAGGAAGUGAGAUUCAGAGGGGUUAAACAGCUUUCCUAAAGCCACACAGCGAGAGAGUCGAUCUGAACUGAAGAUUGUUUGACAUCAAAGCUCAUUUCUUUCCCUAAAUGUCAGCAUUCUUUCCUGACUUAUUAAUUUGAUUUCUGUCCUCCCCUCAUGGAAGUUAAUUAAAGGAAUGCGAGAACCUUUUAGAAAAUCUCCAGGGCA